UACGGAGGGAGCUAGCGUUGUUCGGAAUUACUGGGCGUAAAGCGCACGUAGGCGGCUUUGUAAGUUAGAGGUGAAAGCCUGGGGCUCAACCCCAGAAUUGCCUUUAAGACUGCAUCGCUUGAAUCCAGGAGAGGUGAGUGGAAUUCCGAGUGUAGAGGUGAAAUUCGUAGAUAUUCGGAAGAACACCAGUGGCGAAGGCGGCUCACUGGACUGGUAUUGACGCUGAGGUGCGAAAGCGUGGGGAGCA
rnacentral:rRNA from 1 species